CUGACAUCCAUGGAAAAUUAGUGAAGGCAGCGACAGGUGAAGUAUCUUCUUACAAGUGAAAAAGGUAUCAUUUGGGACAGCAAUGUUAAAUGCCACUUCUUGGAAAACCAUGCAGACUUUCUUAUUCCUUCACCUCUGUUUAGAGUAUGUGAAGGCCUUGGUUUGAAUGCAAGGGAACAUGUGUUGCUUCAGAAUAAGUUUUGUUCUGUACUGGGGGAUGGGGCAUGAAAGGGAAGUGCUAAUGUUCAUGAAGGGUGAGGUUGGAUACCUGGAUUUAGGUUGAGUGUGAGGUGAUAUCUAAGCCAGAAGCAAGAGCUGUACUUCAUCUGAGAGACACAACCUUUCCAGAAUCAGUGGUUGAUCUAGUAGCUUAUCUGUCUCUAGAUUUGCUCUGUGCUAUAGGUUUUCAUUCACAAGCACUCACCCAUGACAGCAGGGGCUAAACAGCGGCACCUUUCGCCAUUCUCUCCCUUCUAAAAUUUUUUUCUUUCUAGAGAGGAGAGGGAGAAAGAAGGUGGUUAGAGAAACAGACAAUGGUUUUCACCUAAAUCCCCUCCCAGCCUGCUAGCCGCAAUGAGCCCGCUCCGGUGACCACACCCAGGCUUUCCCUGCUCGGUGCGGGGCGGGAUGCGGGCAGGACCCGGAGGCUGCCUUCCCGUCUGUCACACCAGGACUCGCUCCCGCCUGGCAUGAGGGUGUGGAGGGGGUACCUCCGUGCCUCGCCUCUGCUUCCUACUCUGAUGUGAGGCGCAGGCAUGCUCAGUAGCCGGUGCCUACCCCUCCUCUCCCAACAACAGUGCCUACAACAGUAGGAGACUGGUGGCAGCAGGCGCGGAGCCGAAAGCCAUCUUUGCUGGAGAGGGAGGCAGCGCACCCCGCUCGGCCCCUCGCCAUGUCUGUUCCAGCUUCUACCCAAGGUCCCACCGGUGCUGCAGCGGCUGCAGGGCCUCCUCCUGCUACCAGUGUGUCCAGCAACAAGCGGCUGCAGCAGACACAAGCCCAGGUGGACGAGGUAAGUGGCUCCAAGUGAUCUGUUGUGCACCACAAUGGUGCUGCUGUGGUUGGUUUCCUCCCCCAGGUUCCCACCUGCUCAUCUGAAGGCCGUGGAUCUGGGAAAUGAGAUUUAUCAAAGGACGGCAGUUAUGAGGAGGCAGACAGUACAAGAGGGAUUCUGAAUAU
rnacentral:lncRNA from 1 species